rnacentral:rRNA from 1 species
UGGGGAAUAUUGGGCAAUGGGCGCAAGCCUGACCCAGCAACGCCGCGUGAAGGAAGAAGGCUUUCGGGUUGUAAACUUCUUUUCUAAGGGACGAAGAAAGUGACGGUACCUUAGGAAUAAGCUCCGGCUAACUACGUGCCAGCAGCCGCGGUAAUACGUAGGGAGCGAGCGUUAUCCGGAUUUACUGGGUGUAAAGGGCGUGUAGGCGGGAUGGCAAGUCAGGCGUGAAAACUAUGGGCUCAACCCAUAGCCUGCGUUUGAAACUGUCGUUCUUGAGUGAUGGAGAGGCAAGCGGAAUUCCGU